UCAGGUAGGGAUACCCGCUGAACUUAAGCAUAUCAAU
rnacentral:rRNA from 3 species